rnacentral:rRNA from 1 species
CCUACGGGAGGCAGCAGUGAGGAAUAUUGGUCAAUGGGCGGGAGCCUGAACCAGCCAAGCCGCGUGAGGGAAGAAGGUACAGCGUAUCGUAAACCUCUUUUGUCAGGGAACAAAGGCGGGGACUAGUCCCCGGAUGAGGGUACCUGAAGAAAAAGCAUCGGCUAACUCCGUGCCAGCAGCCGCGGUAAUACGGAGGAUGCGAGCGUUAUCCGGAUUUAUUGGGUUUAAAGGGUGCGCAGGCGGCCUGUUAAGUCAGCGGUAAAAGCCCGGGGCUCAACCCCGGCGAGCCGUUGAAACUGGCAGUCUUGAGUACAGUUGAGGUAGGCGGAAUUCGUGGUGUAGCGGUGAAAUGCUUAGAUAUCACGAAGAACUCCGAUUGCGAAGGCAGCUUACUAAACUGCCACUGACAUUGAUGCUCGAAAGUGUGGGUAUCAAACAGGAUUAGAUACCCUAGUAGUC